rnacentral:rRNA from 1 species
GAUGAACGCUGGCGGCGUGCCUAAUACAUGCAAGUCGAGCGAACGGACGAGAAGCUUGCUUCUCUGAUGUUAGCGGCGGACGGGUGAGUAACACGUGGAUAACCUACCUAUAAGACUAGGAUAACUUCGGGAAACCGGAGCUAAUACCGGAUGAUAUUUUGAACCGCAUGGUUCAAAAGUGAAAGACGGUCUUGCUGUCACUUAUAGAUGGAUCCGCGCUGCAUUAGCUAGUUGGUAAGGUAACGGCUUACCAAGGCAACGAUGCAUAGCCGACCUGAGAGGGUGAUCGGCCACACUGGAACUGAGACACGGUCCAAACUCCUACGGGAGGCAGCAGUAGGGAAUCUUCCGCAAUGGGCGAAAGCCUGACGGAGCAACGCCGCGUGAGUGAUGAAGGUCUUCGGAUCGUAAAACUCUGUUAUUAGGGAAGAACAUAUGUGUAAGUAACUGUGCACAUCUUGACGGUACCUAAUCAGAAAGCCACGGCUAACUACGUG